rnacentral:rRNA from 1 species
GAACGCUAGCUACAGGCUUAACACAUGCAAGUCGAGGGGCAGCAUGGUCUUAGCUUGCUAAGGCCGAUGGCGACCGGCGCACGGGUGAGUAACACGUAUCCAACCUGCCGUCUACUCUUGGACAGCCUUCUGAAAGGAAGAUUAAUACAAGAUGGCAUCAUGAGUCCGCAUGUUCACAUGAUUAAAGGUAUUCCGGUAGACGAUGGGGAUGCGUUCCAUUAGAUAGUAGGCGGGGUAACGGCCCACCUAGUCUUCGAUGGAUAGGGGUUCUGAGAGGAAGGUCCCCCACAUUGGAACUGAGACACGGUCCAAACUCCUACGGGAGGCAGCAGUGAGGAAUAUUGGUCAAUGGGCGAGAGCCUGAACCAGCCAAGUAGCGUGAAGGAUGACUGCCCUAUGGGUUGUAAACUUCUUUUAUAAAGGAAUAAAGUCGGGUAUGCAUACCCGUUUGCAUGUACUUUAUGAAUAAGGAUCGGCUAACUCCGUGCCAGCAGCCGCGGUAAUACGGAGGAUCCGAGCGUUAUCCGGAUUUAUUGGGUUUAAAGGGAGCGUAGAUGGAUGUUUAAGUCAGUUGUGAAAGUUUGCGGCUCAACCGUAAAAUUGCAGUUGAUACUGGAUAUCUUGAGUGCAGUUGAGGCAGGCGGAAUUCGUGGUGUAGCGGUGAAAUGCUUAGAUAUCACGAAGAACUCCGAUUGCGAAGGCAGCCUGCUAAGCUGCAACUGACAUUGAGGCUCGAAAGUGUGGGUAUCAAACAGGAUUAGAUACCCUGGUAGUCCACACGGUAAACGAUGAAUACUCGCUGUUUGCGAUAUACGGCAAGCGGCCAAGCGAAAGCGUUAAGUAUUCCACCUGGGGAGUACGCCGGCAACGGUGAAACUCAAAGGAAUUGACGGGGGCCCGCACAAGCGGAGGAACGUGUGGUUUAAUUCGAUGAUACGCGAGGAACCUUACCCGGGCUUAAAUUGCAGAUGAAUUACGGUGAAAGCCGUAAGCCGCAAGGCAUCUGUGAAGGUGCUGCAUGGUUGUCGUCAGCUCGUGCCGUGAGGUGUCGGCUUAAGUGCCAUAACGAGCGCAACCCUUGUUGUCAGUUACUAACAGGUUCCGCUGAGGACUCUGACAAGACUGCCAUCGUAAGAUGUGAGGAAGGUGGGGAUGACGUCAAAUCAGCACGGCCCUUACGUCCGGGGCUACACACGUGUUACAAUGGGGGGUACAGAGGGCCGCUACCACGCGAGUGGAUGCCAAUCCCCAAAACCUCUCUCAGUUCGGACUGGAGUCUGCAACCCGACUCCACGAAGCUGGAUUCGCUAGUAAUCGCGCAUCAGCCACGGCGCGGUGAAUACGUUCCCGGGCCUUGUACACACCGCCCGUCAAGCCAUGGGAGCCGGGGGUGCCUGAAGUGCGUAACCGCGAGGAGCGCCCUAGGGUAAAACUGGUGACUGGGGCUAA